AUUGAACGCUGGCGGCAUGCUUUACACAUGCAAGUCGAACGGUAACAGGCUUCCGGGUUCGGAUGCUUGGGGGACGGGCGGGUAAUUCACCGGAACGUGCCCUGAGGUUGGGGAUAAGGCAGCGAAAGCUGUGUGAAUACCACACGGGAUCGGAGGACGAAAGCGGGGGACGAGGCAGCAAUGUUUGGGCUCGCGCGUUUGGAGCGGCGGAUGUCCGAUUAGGUGGUUGGUGGGGUAAAGACCUACCAAGUCGACGAUCUGUAGCUUGUCUGAGAGGACGGCCGGCGACACUGGGACUGGGCCACGGACAAGACUCCUGCGGGAGGCAGCAGUGGGCAAUGGUGGGCAAUAGGGGGAAGUAUGAUCCAGCAGUGCCGCGUGCGGUAAGACGGCGUUCGGGUUGUAAAGCGGUUUUGUGCGGAGCGAAACGCCUCUGGCUGAUACCUAGCGCUGGUGACGGUAACGGAAGAAGAAGCACCGGCUAACUACGUG
rnacentral:rRNA from 1 species